ACUAGUCUGGGAUACCACUUGGAAACAGGUGCUAAUACCGGAUAAGAAAGCGGAUCGCAUGAUCAGCUUUUAAAAGGCGGCGUAAGCUGUCGCUAUGGGAUGGCCCCGCGGUGCAUUAGCUAGUUGGUAAGGUAAAGGCUUACCAAGGCGAUGAUGCAUAGCCGAGUUGAGAGACUGAUCGGCCACAUUGGGACUGAGACACGGCCCAAACUCCUACGGGAGGCAGCAGCU
rnacentral:rRNA from 1 species